CUCCUCCGCUCCGGCCACCGGAGGGACACGGCGCACGUCCUCCCCGCCGGCGCCCCCCUUCUCCACCUCCUGCCCACGCGCGGGCGCGGCAUCCCUGUGCCGUCCACGCCGGCGUCGCCGCUACAUCUCCGCGCAUGCACCUCCUCCUCCUCCGAGGUCGGAUCCCCUUUUCACGUCUUCCUUCGUCGGCCUCCACCCAACCAUCGGCAGGUCGAGCACCAUGGCUCAUCAGGAGGACCACGGCUUACUAGGUGCCUGGCUGCUAAAGGUCAGAAAUACCUGUUGGAGACUUGAAAGGUUUUCCAGGCCGUAUACAAACUCAAUGAUUCUGAACCUCAGCUCAAGCCUCUGAAGCUCUGGCAUUGCCCCUUCUAGGAAGCUCAGAGGUGGUAGCACUGGUGCCGUAAAACGGAGCAACCUCAACUUUGUAAACCCCCCAUCCGGCACAAAGAUUUUACCACCUGACUCCAAUGUAUUCUUCUGCACAGUUUUGAGGAUAUUUGAAAUACCAUUUGCUGCAUCAAGUGAAAAAAUGAGAGAGAAAAGCUCAGGAAGCCUACUAAGAGUCACCAAAGUAUCUGUCGUAAGUGAAGUCAUGGACAGAGUAAGCUUCUCAAGGUUGUGCAAGCGGUCAAUCCAUUCUGGCACUUUAAACAAGCUGCCAGAAAGCUCAAGGGUGUAAAGGUGUUCUGGUUGUGCUUGUGAAGAACUCAGUGAUCUGUCAAGAAAGCCUGUGAAACUGUCAUCAAUUGCAAGAAACUUGAGAGAACAACUGCUCAAAUGCUCAAUAGCAGAGAGCAACAAUUCAUCAUCUUUCGCUUGGAAAUUAACAAGCCUGUAAAUGGCAAGUUUCUUAAGGUUGGUGAGCUUCUCCAAGGCUGCUAGCGGACGCAAUUGUUUUGGCAUAUCCACCUUGCUGCCUUCCUUACGGGUACCUUGCAAGCCCGCGAUAUCUCCAUCCUUGGCAUCGGUGGUUGUAGCAUUUCUGAUGACUUCAAGAACUGGUGCCUGCUCCCCAGCUGCUGUCCUGGUUGACCUUCCAGAGAUCUCAAUCCCAGACAGUGUCUGUAUAGUUUUCAUCUUUGUGAUUCCUUCAGUUAAUCUCAAUGCUCUCCGCUUGGUUUUAUUGCCAGCCAAUAGAUGGACCAUUCGUUGAAGCCUCUCCACUGAUGCAGGCAAGUUUGUGACAUCCGUGUCCCUUAUGUCAAGUACCUCCAAAUACUCCAGCCUGCCUAUUUUCUUCGGUAUCUUGUAUAUGUCCGUCCCACGCAAGCUUAGGUACUUCAUCUGAUGCAUAUUACAUAUUUUCUUGAGCUGGUUUGACGACAAGUCCUUGCAUCCUUCAAGAUCCAACACCUGCAGUAUCUGGAAUUUGAGCAUAGUAGAAUGAAGAGCUUUGAAACUCUCCAACACAGUCAAAGAUCGGACAUGCGACAACUUCAUCCUCUCUACUAGAUCAGUUUCUUGCCUAUCACUUUUAUGGACAGACAACCGCCGCACCUUGUAGCUUGGAAACGGUGUCUGCCAGUGGCUACCAAUUACAGUGAUGAAAUUCUCAUCACCAGAUUUGGAGACAAUGUACUCAAGGACCAUGUCAUGAAUUUGACAGCUCUUCACCUUCCCAUUGCUGCUGUUGUUGAUAGGCCGAAUCAAGUUCCUGCCAAUGAGCUCAUUGAAGUUGUCUUCUGCAACUUCCUCUGCCGUCUGCCCAUGUUUCUCAGUAACGAACCCUUCAGCAACCCAUCUUCUUAUCAAUCGUUUCCUGCUAAUAUUGCGGCCCUUUGGAAAUGUACUCAAGUAGAGCAAACAUGUCUUAAGGUCAGGUGGCAGAUUUUUGUAGCAGUGGUUAAUUAUCUGCACUACUUCUGUGUUCACUAGCAAUGAGCCCUGACACUACUAUUAUGGCCAAAGGCAGACCACCACACAUCUUCACGACAAUCUCAUCAUUAAUGGUUGGAGUGGGACACGGAUCAUUAGCAUAUAUUAUUUGAAGAAACAAUUUGCUGGAGUUCACUGGAUCGAGCUGUUUGAGCUUGUGCACAUGACCAUUUUGACGGCGGCAGGCUUCAGCUACAGAGUUAAACCUGGUAGUCACAAUUACGCAACUACCCUUAUUAUUCUUAGGUAAUGAAUCCCUAAUACUUUCCCAUGCUGAUACAGACCAUAUGUCAUCAAUCAAGAUAUGGUACCUGUUCAGGAAUUGUUUAGAAGUAAGUAGUUGUAAAUAGAGUGUGCUUUGAUGGUACUUGUAGUUGUAAAUAGAGUGUGAUUUUACAGUACUUGAGAAAGUACUGUAAAAGUUGCUCUUUAAAUAACAUUUUAUACUACCUAGCUUCUUCGUUUAAUAUUUGAACUUAAAAGAAUGAAGAAGUAGUACUCCUCCCAGGCACAAAACAUGUUGUUAAACCUUUUCAACUUUGGUAUCAAUAUUUGUUUUUCUAUUCUGCAUAAAGUUAUUGGAUUUUAUAAAUAUAUACAAUAAAAAUGCUGUUGCAUUUUGUAGACUAUUUGUAUCCAAAACGACUGUUACCUGUGAACGGAGAAAGUACCCCUUAUCCAAAUCAGUAAUAACUACUUCCUCCGUUUCAUAUUAUAACUCUUUCUAGCAUUGCCCAUAUUCAUAUACAGUAUAUGUUAAUGAAUCUAGAUAUAUAUGUGUGCCUAGAUUCAUUAAUAUCUAUAUAAAUGUGGGCAAUGCUAGAAAGUCUUAUAACCUGAAACGGAGGUAGUAUCAUAAUUCAAAUUCGGUGUUACUAUUUAAUUACUAAAAACUUGUGUGAGACUGAUCCAAAGAUUAGCUCAAGUGCUAAACCAGAAAUGUCAAGAAAAACUAUGAAGGAAUGAAAAUAAAUACUCCGUAAUAUAUAGUAGCCAUUCCUCUACCUCUUGCCUUGCAGUUGAUCAGCGAGCUUCUUCUUGAGGGCUUCAACUCCCCAUUCCUCAAUUCCGUGAAGAGCAUCCUCAGAAGCGCUGACCUGCUUCUGAUGGAACUGGCUGACAAGGCUUCUCAAAACUGUUGGGAGAUGAAACUUCUGCGACGCGAGCAUGAACGCUCUGGAAUCAAACUCAUCUCCAAACUUGCGGUAAAAUGACAUUGCGAGUGUGGUUUUGCCAAGCCCACCGGAUCCGACGAUAGCAAGGUUCAGUGGUGCCAAUCAGCCGGGGGAGAGGAGCUGGAUGGUCUCCGGGAGCGCCGGAGUUGUUGUUGCCGCCACCAUUUCUGUUUGCUGGGAGGUUCUCCACCCCGUACCUGGUGCGCCGCUCGCUGACAUGCUGCGCCCUG